CCUACGGGAGGCAGCAGUGGGGAAUAUUGGACGAUGGGCGCAAGCCUGAUCCAGCCAUGCCGCGUGGGUGAUGAAGGCCCUAGGGUUGUAAAGCCCUUUCGGCGGGGAGGAUAAUGACGGUACCCGCAGAAGAAGCCCCGGCUAACUUCGUGCCAGCAGCCGCGGUAAUACGAAGGGGGCUAGCGUUGCUCGGAAUCACUGGGCGUAAAGCGCACGUAGGCGGCUUUUUAAGUCAGGGGUGAAAUCCUGGAGCUCAACUCCAGAACUGCCUUUGAUACUGAGGAUCUUGAGUCCGGGAGAGGUGAGUGGAAUUGCGAGUGUGGAGGUGAAAUUCGUAGAUAUUCGCAAGAACACCAGUGGCGAAGGCGGCUCACUGGCCCGGAACUGACGCUGAGACGCGAAAGCGUGGGGAGCAAACAGGAUUAGAUACCCUGGUAGUCCACGCUGUAAACGAUGGAUGCUAGCCGUUGGGGAGCUUGCUCUUCAGUGGCGCAGCUAACGCUUUAAGCAUCCCGCCUGGGGAGUACGGUCGCAAGAUUAAAACUCAAAGGAAUUGACGG
rnacentral:rRNA from 1 species